rnacentral:rRNA from 1 species
CAAUAGCGUAUAUUAAAGUUGUUGCGGUUAAAAAGCUCGUAGUUGGAUUUCUGCCGAGGACGACCGGUCCGCCCACUGGGUGUGUAUCUGGCUUGGCCUUGGCAUCUUCUUGGAGAACGUGCUGCACUUGACUGUGUGGUACGGUAUCCAGGACCUUUACUUUGAGAAAAUUAGAGUGUUCAAAGCAGGCCCACGCCUUGAAUACAUUAGCAUGGAAUAAUAAGAUAGGACCUCGGUUCUAUUUUGUUGGUUUCUAGAACUGAGGUAAUGAUUGAUAGGGAUAGUUGGGGGCAUUCGUAUUUAACUGUCAGGGGUGAAAUUCUUGGAUUUGUUAAAGACGGACUACUGCGAAAGCAUUUGCCAAGGAUGUUUUCAUUGA